rnacentral:lncRNA from 1 species
CAGAAACCCUUCUUUCACUGUUUCUUUGCUAUUUGCACACACUCUGUGAAUUGUUCCCAAGUUAGGUUUUGAACCUCAUUUGAUUGCUGGAUUUGGACACAGACUCAUAUUGUGGAGUUUGGGAAUAAGCAGUUUGUGUUGUGUUUCUGUGCUGAAGGUACUAGUGCUGUUUCCAUAGCUGUUAGUGGAAGGGAGAUGAGACAGACAGCACCAUGCACCAAGUUCCCUUGGAAUUUUAGUUAUUAGUUACCAAAUUGUUCUGUUAAUUCAAGAGGAGCUGCAAAUUAUGAUGCUGUGAUUUAUCUUUUUUUUUUUUUUCCCCUCCCAUUUUCAACAGUCGAUGCCCUCUGCAUUCAUUGCUUAAAAUGUAAAUGAUGCUGGAAUUCUGAAUUAAAGCUUAUGAGACCUUUCAGAUGUUCUGUAUGCCUCUUGAAAUGCCUCACACACCACUGGCUGCAGUGUUCCCCUGGAAGUUGUAAUCAGCUGCAAAAGGAUGGUAAUAUUUUGAGAUUUCCAGCAAUUUGGAAGAGCAAAACAAGCCAAUGCCUUCAGAGUGCUGGGACCAGGUGGAGCUAAAAUAGUUUUAGUAGAAGUACAAGUGUUCAAAAAGAAUUCAGCAGAUUAGAUGCAUCCUUGUUAGAGAACCAGACCAUAAUUAC